AGACGACCCAGAUUUUAUUAUCCCAGAGGACGCAGAAAUGAAUAUAUGGCAGGACUUUCAUAAUGAUUCCAACGAUGAAGUAGAAAUUCCAUUUGUGCAAGUACCGGAAAAUCUUUUAGAACUUUACCCACAAGGACAAGAUGAAGAGAAUAUUUGUGUGGUCUGCAGAGUGGCCCCAAGGUCGCAUGCACUUGUUCCUUGUGGGCAUAGAGUUCUAUGUGUUGAUUGUUUGUCGCAAUUGCAAACACAAAAGUGUCCAAUAUGUAACCUUGAAUAUGACUUUGCUAUACGCAUUUGCUAUUAUUCGGUCAGUCAUAUGUUCACGUCCACAGUCAUGUUCCCGUAACUGAGUAUCUCGCAAUACUGUCUUAAUACAGAAUUUUAAAUACUAUACAAGCUCAAAGGUAUAGAAAUACUAUACAUAGAAAUUGUCAAAUUAUACACAAUUUGGCCAAGAUUGUUUCAUUUUCAAAUACAUCACAGGAUUUAAAUAACCUAUGGAAGUAUACAUUUUU